UGACCACAUAUAAAACAAAAUGCAUCAGC
rnacentral:piRNA from 1 species